ACGUAUACGCACGCGGCUCAAACAUCCAACUUGUUAAAUUAUUCCGCGCAGCACUCGCGGGCUCUCUGCGUGGACAGAAACGAAAGAGAGAAAGAGAAGUAGAAAAAUAAAAUAUGUACACGGUCUGUGUGUGCUCAACGAAACAGCAUGUGCAGCACAGAGUUCCCCUCGCGCGUUCUAGCCAUUGAUAACAUGCCCUUAGCAUGACAUUGAGUUAGCAGCCAGCAUUUUUAUACACACGCGAGUGAGUGAGUGUGCCGACGGUGUGUACCCGGCCGUUCUCCGCGGCUCCGCGCUCCAUGGUGGCUCAUGUGAGCAACAAGUAUUAGCGAAGCUGCAGCAGAGAGGGCACCUUGCGAUUAUCCGCUAAGUGGACGUGGUCUGCGUUUCAUUAUUUCCCGGAGCACCGCCAGCGAGAGAGGGAGGAUUAUAAAAAUAUUCUCGUGCGACUCCAGCUCUGUCAAGUGAUAUAAUGAAUAAAUAAACAAUUCAGAAAUUUUCUUGAUAAAAUAAAA